UUUGUCAAACUGUUGAUCUGCCUCAUGGCUGUUUUAGAAGAUAUGGUGACUGAGGUUUAAACAGUACUAGCCGGCUCAUGCAGCUUGUUUUUACUAGAUGCCAGUCCUAAAAGUACAUAUCUUUAAAAUUUGAAUAAAUACGUACAAUUCCAUAAUUAUUCGAUCCAACGGUUAUAGAAGUUUUGUAAUAAUGCAAUUCAGGUAUUUUACAUUUUCUGGACUAAAGGAGGAUUUCAGUUCAACACCUGUGGUUUCUUAAUUUUUUCACUUAGUUCCACUACUGCAGUGGAUUUUAUAGUCAAUGUUUAAAGCCAACAGAGUCUGAAGCGAUGGAGGAAAUGUACGUCAAUAUGGAACCUGUUGGAAAAACCGCAUCUAAUCACACAGGUUGGAGCAGCUCCAAAGAGAGGCUCUGCCUCCGUGCGGCUGUAUGUUUGGGAAUCCUGAAUGUUUUACUUUUGGCUGAACUCAUCGCCCUCAGUGUUCACACUCAUGACAUGACAGCAGAUUUUUCUGACAUCAGCAACAUUCUGACCGAGCAGAACAGCAGCAGCAAGUUUCCCUCCAGGAACGCUAACUUCACUGAAACGGCUCCACG